GAUGAACGCUGGCGGCGUGCCUAAUACAUGCAAGUCGAGCGAACAGACGAGGAGCUUGCUCCUCUGACGUUAGCGGCGGACGGGUGAGUAACACGUGGAUAACCUACCUAUAAGACUGGGAUAACUUCGGGAAACCGGAGCUAAUACCGGAUAAUAUAUUGAACCGCAUGGUUCAAUAGUGAAAGACGGUUUUGCUGUCACUUAUAGAUGGAUCCGCGCCGCAUUAGCUAGUUGGUAAGGUAACGGCUUACCAAGGCAACGAUGCGUAGCCGACCUGAGAGGGUGAUCGGCCACACUGGAACUGAGACACGGUCCAGACUCCUACGGGAGGCAGAAGUAGGGAAUCUUCCGCAAUGGGCGAAAGCCUGACGGAGCAACGCCGCGUGAGUGAUGAAGGUCUUCGGAUCGUAAAACUCUGUUAUUAGGGAAGAACAAAUGUGUAAGUAACUAUGCACGUCUUGACGGGACCUAAUCAGAAAGCCACGGCUAACUACGU
rnacentral:rRNA from 1 species